UACGUAGGGGGCUAGCGUUGCUCGGAAUUACUGGGCGUAAAGGGCGCGUAGGCGGAUAGUUUAGUCAGAGGUGAAAGCCCAGGGCUCAACCUUGGAAUUGCCUUUGAUACUGGCUAUCUUGAGUACGGGAGAGGUGUGUGGAACUCCGAGUGUAGAGGUGAAAUUCGUAGAUAUUCGGAAGAACACCAGUGGCGAAGGCGACACACUGGCCCGUUACUGACGCUGAGGCGCGAAAGCGUGGGGAGCAAACAGG
rnacentral:rRNA from 1 species